ACAAAAGGUUUCUUUCGUGCCACUCAAAGAAGGUAGAGGGAAAAUGAUAGGGCAACUGAGGGUUAAAAAAAAAAAAAAAGUCAUCGAAAAUGUGCUUUAAAAAAACAAACAUAAAACUGGUCCUUGAACCCUGUUGGAUAUCAGCGUUCUGAGGCCAAGGUCUAACGGGAGCAGAAGGUUGUAGGGAGGAGAUAACUUCCCUUCCCGGUGGAUCCAGCCUCUCCUUUAGCUAGCACAUUAUCCGUUCCAGUUUCCUUUUUCUUGAGCUUCAUCUCGUUUAAGCAGCUCUGAUGAGUGCUGGCCGUCUCUCUUGUUGCCGGGUGUUAAUAGAGUGCAGAGCAGGUGAAAAUCUCGGGGACAUUGGACAUGGUCCGCGAACACGUAAGCGCAGCCUGGAGUUUGGAAAAGCCGCAUAGAAUGCUGGCACCGUGUUAGCUUCUGGAUAUAGAGCAACAGCAAAAUGAACACAGCCCCCGCCUUAUUGUUCGUACAGCUCAGCUCUGCACGGGAAGACAGACAAGAAACAGGAAGGCAAUUCUCCACAUCAGUUUGCUGUUGGCUUGGUAACCACUCUUGAUACAUCCGCUCACAUGAAACAGCCCUCCAUCCUCUAGAGAAGAAAGUAGACGUUAAUACCACUCUGUUUGGGAAAGUCCUUAUCUGCCUCCAUGUGAAACCCUGAGUUACUGAGAAGAUGGAUCAGAGAAAAUCCCCAAUUUGCUUUUCAUUACCGUGAUUCUUGAACGUGCCUUUGUAACUCAAUUAAUAUGGUAAGUACUAGAAAUAGAAAAGUGAGUGAGUGAGAUAUGAGGAAGUCAAAACAAGGGUAGAUUCUUCUUUUUUAACUUGAUUUUUAAAAAGAGAG